GCCGCAGCAAGAAGAGGCAAGUCAUUCAAGAAGAGAAUUUUAGUUCACCUUUAAGCCUCCCCAAGUACUAUUAAACACCACAUAAGCUUAAAAGUUAUUCAAAUAGGGGACAGCCUAUUUGAAAAAGGACACAGCCUAAAAUCUAGGGUAAUACCCCCCCCCAUGUGAUUAAGUCAGCCCAAAAGCAGCUAACUUUCAGAAAGCGUCCAAGCUCCAUCACAACUCAUCAUCAAUCCCCACAUUAAACCCCAACCCUCAACCAUUACUGAAUAAUCUUAUAUUAUAUAAGAAAUAUUAUGCUAGAACUAGUAACAAGAAGAAGACCUUCUCCAAAAUGUAAACGUAAGCCAAAAUAAACACUACUGGCACUUACCGCCAUAAACCUGCAGUACCAACAUAUCAAGAAAAUAGUACCCCCAUGGACGUUAACCUUACACUAGAACAUUCCAGGAAAGAUUAAAAAAGAGGGAAGGAACUCGGCAAACAUUAGCCCCGCCUGUUUACCAAAAACAUCGCCUCUUGAACAAACAUAAGAGGUCUAGCCUGCCCAGUGACUCAUGUUAAACGGCCGCGGUACCCUAACCGUGCAAAGGUAGCACAAUCACUUGCCCCUUAAAUUAGGGCUAGUAUGAAAGGCCUCACGAGAGCUAUACUGUCUCCCCCCUUAAAUCAGUGAAACUGAUCUCCUCGUGAAGAAGCGAGGAUGACUUCAUAAGACGAGAAGACCCCAUGGAGCUUCAAACUUGCACCACUGCCUCUCUACAUCAACUACACGAGCAAGCUGAUUACAAGUCUUUCGGCUGGGGCGACCACGGAGAAAAACUAAACCUCCACGAUGAAGGGGACAACCCUAAUCAAAGAGCAACUGCUCGAAGAAUCAACAAACUGACAUAUUGACCCAAACACUUUGAUCAACGAACCAAGUUACCCUGGGGAUAACAGCGCAAUCCAUUUCAAGAGACCCCAUCAACAAGUGGGCUUACGACCUCGAUGUUGGAUCAGGGUACCCCAGUGGUGCAGCCGCUACUAAAGGUUCGUUUGUUCAACGAUUAAAACCCU
rnacentral:rRNA from 1 species